rnacentral:snoRNA from 1 species
AAUCCAUGGUUUGGGCACUUCCUGAACAUACAUUUAAAUCUAUCACAUGCUUCGCAUAGGCUUUCCCCAAAAGGCUGGAUAAAGGUGGAGAUUGCAGUUUUUAAAUCU